rnacentral:rRNA from 1 species
UCCAAUUGAAGCAGAGGACAGUGGCGGACGGGUGAGUAACGCGUGAGGAACCUGCCUUUCAGAGGGGGACAACAGUUGGAAACGACUGCUAAUACCGCAUAACAUAUAGAUGUCGCAUGGCAUUUAUAUCAAAGAUUUAUCGCUUCAAGAUGGCCUCGCGUCUGAUUAGCUAGUUGGCGGGGUAACGGCCCACCAAGGCGACGAUCAGUAGCCGGACUGAGAGGUUGAACGGCCACAUUGGGACUGAGAUACGGCCCAGACUCC